rnacentral:lncRNA from 1 species
GCGGCUGUGCCCGCGGCUUAUUUUUGGCACACGGAGGCCCCUCGCAAAGUCUCGCGGCAUUCCGAGUCCGGCGGACGAAGUUGGCCAGCCCCACCCCCCAAGGCUAUAGCCCACCCGUUUUUGUGGCUUUUUUCUGCUGGACGAACCUGGCGUCCCGGCCUUUGGGCAGUUAUUUUUGGGUGCGGCUGUGCCCGCGGCCUAUAUUUGGCACACGGAGGUGGCUCGUAAAGUCUCACGCCAUUCCCAGUCCGGCGGACGAAGUUGGCCAGCCCCACCCCCCAAGGCUAUAGCCCACCCGUUUUUGUGCCCUUUUUCCGCUGGACGAACUUGGCGCCCCGGCCUUCGGGGGGUUAUUUUUGGGCGCGGCUGUGCCCGCGGCCUAUUUUUGGCAAACGGAGGCGCCUCGCAAAGUCUCGCGCCAUUCCGAGUCCGGCGGACGAAGUUGGCCAGCACCACCCCCAAAGGCUACAGCCCACCCGUUUUUGUGGCCUUUUUCCGCUGGACGAACUUGGCGCCCCGGCCUUCGGGUAGUUAUUUUUGGGCGCGGCUUUGUCCGCGGCCUAUUUUUGGCACAGGGAGGCGCCUCGCAAAGUCUCGCGCCAUUCCGAGUCCGGCGGACGAAGUUGGUCAGCCCCACCCCCCAAGGCUAUAGCCCACCCGUUUUUGUGGCUUUUUUCUGCUGGACGAACCUGGCGUCCCGGCCUUUGGGCAGUUAUUUUUGGGCGCGGCUGUGCCCGCGGCCUAUAUUUGGCACACGGAGGCGGCUCGUAAAGUCUCACGCCAUUCCCAGUCCGGCGGACGAAGUUGGCCAGCCCCACCCCCCAAGGCUAUAGCCCACCCGUUUUUGUGCCCUUUUUCCGCUGGACGAACUUGGCGCCCCGGCCUUCGGGGGGUUAUUUUUGGGUGCGGCUGUGCCCGCGGCCUAUUUUUGGCAAACGGAGGCGCCUCGUAAACUCUCGCGCCAUUCCGAGUCCGGCGGACGAAGUUGGCCAGCCCCACCCCCCAAGGCUAUAGCCCACCCGUUUUUGUGGCCUUUUUCCGCUGGACGAAGUUGGCGCCCCGGCCUUCGGGCUGUUAUUUUUUGGCACGGCUGUGUCCGCGGCCUAUUUAUGGCAAAUGGAGGCACCUCACAAAGUCUCGCGCCAUUCCGAGUCCGGCGGACGAAGUUGGCCAGCACCACCCCCAAAGGCUAUAGCCCACCCGUUUUUGUGGCCUUUUUCCGCUGGACAAACUCGGCGCCCCGGCCUUCGGGCGGUUAUUUUUGGGCGCGGUUGUGCCCGUGGCCUAUUUUUGGCAGACGGAGGUGCCAAGCAAAGUCUCGCGCCAUUCCGAGUGCUGCGGACGAAUUUGGCCAGCCCCACCCCCCAAGGCUAUAGCCCACCCGUUUUUGUGGCCUUUUUCCGCUGGACGAACUUGGCGCCCCGGCCUUCGGGCGGUUAUUUUUGGGCGCGGCUGUGCCCGCGGCCUAUUUUUGGCACACGGAGGCACCUCGCAGAGUCUCACGCCAUUCCGAGUCCGGCGGACGAAGUCGGCCCACCCCACCCCCCAAGGUUAUAGCCCACCCGUUUUUGUGGCCUUUUUCCGCUGGACGAACUUGGCGCCCCGGCCUUCGGACGGUUAUGUUUGGGCGCGACUGUACCCGUGGCCUAUUUUUGGCACACGGACGCGCCUCGCCAAGUCUCGCGCCAUUCCGAGUCCGGCGGACGAUGUUGGCCAGCCCCACCCCCCAAGGCUAUAGCCCACCCGUUUUUGUGGCCUUUUUCCGCUGGAUGAACUUGGCGCCCCGGCCCCCGGGCUGUUAUUUUUGGGGGCGGCUUUUUCCGCGGCCUAUUUUUGGCACACGGAGGACCCUCGCAAAGUCUCACGGUAUUCCGAGUCCGGCGGACAAAUUUGGCCAGCCCCACCCCCCAAGGCUAUAGCCCACCCGUUUUUGUGGCCUUUUUCCACUGGACAAACUUGGCGCCCCGGCCUUCGGGCGGUUAUUUUUGGGCACAGCUGUGCCCGCGGCCUAUUUUUGGCACACGGAGGCGGCUCGCAAAGUCUCGCGCCAUUCCGAGUGCUGCGGACGAAUUUGGCCAGCCCCCACCCCCAAGGCUAUAGCCCACCCGUUUUUGUGGCCUUUUUCCGCUGGACGAACUUGGCGCCCCGGCCUUCGGGCGGUUAUUUUUGGGCGCGGCUGUGCCCGCGGCCUCUUUUUGGCACACGGAGGCGCCUCGCAGAGUCUCACGCCUUUCCGAGUCCGGCGGACGAAGUCGGCCCGCCCCACCCCCCAAGGUUAUAGCCCACCCGUUUUUGUGGCCUUUUUCCGCUGGACGAACUUGGCGCCCCGGCCUUCGGGCGGUUAUUUUUGGACGCGCCUGUACCCGCGGCCUAUUUUUGGCACAUGGAGGCGCCUCGCCAAGUCUCGCGCCAUUCCGAGUCCGGCGGACGAUGUUGGCCAGCCCCACCCCCCAAGGCUAUAGCCAACCCGUUUUUGUGGCCUUUUUCCACUCGACGAACUUGGCGCCCCAGCCGUCGGGCGGUUAUUUUUGGGCGCGGCUGUACCAGCGGCGUAUUUUUGGCACACGGAGGCACCUCGCAAGGUCUCUCGCCAUUCCGAGUCCGGCGGACGAAGUUGGCCAGCCCCACCCCCCAAGGCUAUAGCCCACCCGUUUUUGUGGCCUUUUUCCUCUGGACGAACUUGGCGCCCCGGCCUUCGGGCGGUUAUUUUUGGACGUGGCUUUGCCUGCGGCCUAUUUUUGGUACAAGGAGGCCCCUCGCAAAGUCUCGCACCAUUCCGAGUCCGGCGGAUGACGUGGGCCAGCCCCACCCCCCAAGGCUAUAGCCCACACGUUUUUGUGGCCUUUUUCCGCUCGACGAACUUGGCGUCCCGGCCUUUGGGCGGUUAUUUUUGUGCGCAGCUGUGCCCGUGGCCUAUUUUUGGUACACAGAGGUGCCUCGUAAAGUCUCGCACCAUUCCGAGUCCGGCGGACGAAGUUGGCCAGCCCCACCCCCCAAGGCUAUAGCCCACCCGUUUUUGUGGCCUUUUUCCGCUGGACGAACUUGGCGCCCCGGCCUUCGGGCGGUUAUUUUUGGGCGCGGCUGUGACCGCAGCCUAUUUUUGGCACAGGAGGUGCCUUGCAAUGUCUUGCCCCAUUCCGAGUCUGGCGGACGAAGUCGGCCAGCCCCACCCCCCAAGGCUAUAGCCCACCCGUUUUUGUGGCCUUUUUCCGCUAGACGAACUUGGCGCCCCGGCCUCCGGGCGGUUAUUUUUGGGCGCGCCUUCGUCCGUGGCCUAUUUUUGGCACACCGUGGCACCUCGCAAGCUCUCGCUCCAUUCCGAGUCCGGCGGACGAAGUUGGCCAGCCCCACCCCCCAAGGCUAUAGCCCACCCGUUUUUGUGGGCUUUUUCGGCUGGACGAACUUGGCGCCCCGGCCUUCGGGCGGUUAUUUUUGGGCAUGGCUGUGCCCGUGGCCUAUUUUUGGCACACGAAGGCACCUCGCAAAGUCUCGCGCUAUUCCGAGUCCGGCGGACGAAGUUGGCCAGCCCCACUCCCCAAGGCUAUAGCCCACCCGUUUUUGUGGCCUUUUCCGCUGGACGAACUUGGCGCCCCGGCCUUCGGGCGGUUAUUUUUGGGCGCGGCUGUGCCCGUGGCCUAUUUUUGGCACAAGGAGGCGCCUCGUAAAGUCUCACGCCAUUCCGAGUCCGGCGGAUGAAGUUGGCCAGCCCCACCCCCCAAGGCUAUAGCCCACCCGUUUUUGUGGCGUUUUUCAGCUGGACGAACUUGGCGCCCCGGCCUUCGGGCGGUUAUUUUUGGGCGCGGCUGUUCCUGCGGCCUAUUUUUGGCACACGGAGGUGCCUCGCAAAGUCUCGCGCCAUUCCGAGUCCGGCGGACGAAGUUGGCCAGCCCCACCCCCCAAGGCUAUAGCCCACCCGUUUUUGUGGCCUUUUUCCGCUGGACGAACUUGGCGCCCCGGCCUUCGGGCGGUUAUUUUUGGGCGUGGCUUUGCCUGCGGCCUAUUUUUGGUACAAGGAGACCCCUCGCAAAGUCUCGCGGCAUUCCGAAUCCGGCGGACGAAGUGGGCCAGCCCCACCCCCCAAGGCUAUAGCCCACACGUUUUUGUGGCCUUUUUCCGCUCGACGAACUUGGCGUCCCGGCCUUUGGGCAGUUAUUUUUGGGCGCGGCUGUGGCCGUGGCCUAUUUUUGGCACACAGAGGUGCCUCGUAAAGUCUCGCGCCAUUCCGAGUCCGGCGGACUAAGUUGGCCAGCCCCACCCCCCAAGGCUAUAGCCCACCCGUUUUUGUGGCCUUUUUCCGCUAGACGAACUUGGCGCCCCCGCCUCCGGGCGGUUAUUUUUGGGCGUGGCUUUGUCCGCGGCCUAUUUUUGGCACACCGUGGCACCUCGCAAGGUCUCGCUCCAUUCCGAGUCCGGCGGACGAAGUUGGCCAGCCCCACCCCCCAAGGCUAUAGCCCACCCGUUUUUGUGGGAUUUUUCGGUUGGACGAACUUGGCCCCCCGGCCUUCGGGCAGUUAUUUUUGUGUGCGGCUGGGCCCGUGGCCUAUUUUUGGCACACGGAGGCCCCUCGAAAAGUCUCGCGGCAUUCCGAGUCCGGCGGACGAAGUGGGCCAGCCCCACCCCCCAAGGCUAUAGCCCAACCGUUUUUGUGGCCUUUUUCCGCUGGACGAACUUGGCGCCCCGGCCUCCGGGCGGUUAUUUUUGGGCGCGGCCUGGCCCGCGGCCUAUUUUUGGCACACGGAGGCCCCUCACACAGUCUCGCGGCAUUCCGAGUCCGGCGGACGAAGUUGGCCAGCCCCACCCCCCAAGGCUAUAGCCCACCCGUUUUUGUGGCCUUUUUCCGCUGGACGAACUUGGCGCCCGGCCUUCGGGCGGUUAUUUUUGGGCGCGGCUUUGUCCGCGGCGUAUUUUUGGCACACGGAGGCCCCUCGCAAAGUCUCGCAGCAUUCCGAGUCCGGCGGACGAACUUGGCCAGCCCCACCCCCCAAGGAUAUAGCCCACCCGUUUUUGUGGUCUUUUUCCGCUGGACGAACUUGGCGCCCCGGCCUUCGGGCAGUUAUUUUUGGGCACGGCUUUAACCGCGGCCUAUUUUUGGCACACGGAGGCCCCUCGCAAAGUCUUGCGGUAUUCCGAGUCCGGCGGACGAAGCUGGCCAGCCCCACCACCCAACGCUAUAGCCCACCCGUUUUUGUGGCCUUUUUCCGCUCGACGAACUUGGCGCCCCAGCCUUCGGGCGGUUAUUUUUUGGCGCGGCUUUGACCGCAGCCUAGUUUUCGCACAUGGAGGCCCCUUGCAA